AAGUCGUAACAAGGUCUCCGUUGGUGAACCAGCGGAGGGAUCAUUACAGAGUGUAAAAACUCCCCAAACCACUGUGAACAUACCUCUACGUUGCUUCGGCGGGACCGCCCCGGGCGCGCUUCAGCGUGCCCCGGAACCAGGCACCCGCCGGGGACCCCCAAACUUAUGAUUUACCCUGAGCGGUAGGAUACUCUGAGUGGCCGCAAGGCAAAACAAAAAUGAAUCAAAACUUUCAACAACGGAUCUCUUGGUUCUG
rnacentral:misc_RNA from 1 species